rnacentral:rRNA from 1 species
AGUGAACGCUGGCGGUAGGCCUAACACAUGCAAGUCGAACGGCAGCACAGUAAGAGCUUGCUCUUACGGGUGGCGAGUGGCGGACGGGUGAGGAAUACAUCGGAAUCUACUUUUUCGUGGGGGAUAACGUAGGGAAACUUACGCUAAUACCUCAUACGACCUACGGGUGAAAGCAGGGGAUCUUCGGACCUUGCGCGAUUGAAUGAGCCGAUGUCGGAUUAGCUAGUUGGCGGGGUAAAGGCCCACCAAGGCGACGAUCCGUAGCUGGUCUGAGAGGAUGAUCAGCCACACUGGAACUGAGACACGGUCCAGACUCCUACGGGAGGCAGCAGUGGGGAAUAUUGGACAAUGGGCGCAAGCCUGAUCCAGCCAUACCGCGUGGGUGAAGAAGGCCUUCGGGUUGUAAAGCCCUUUUGUUGGGAAAGAAGAGCAGCAGGUUAAUACCCCGCUGUUCUGACGGUACCCAAAGAAUAAGCACCGGCUAACUUCGUG